rnacentral:tRNA from 2 species
GGCGCGGUAGCUCAGGCCGGUAGAGCACUCCCCUCCGAGGGAGCCGUCGCAGGUUCGAAUCCUGCCCGCGCCG